rnacentral:rRNA from 1 species
CAGGGAUUGCCUCAGUAACGGCGAGUGAAGCGGCAACAGCUCAAAUUUGAAAUCUGGCGCAAGCCCGAAUUGUAAUUUGCAGAGGAUGUUUUUGGCGCGGUGCCUUCCGAGUUCCCUGGAACGGGACGCCAUAGAGGGUGAGAGCCCCGUCUGGUUGGAUACCAAGCCUUUGUAAAACUCCUUCGACGAGUCGAGUAGUUUGGGAAUGCUGCUCAAAAUGGGAGGUAUAUGUCUUCUAAAGCUAAAUACCGGCCAGAGACCGAUAGCGCACAAGUAGAGUGAUCGAAAGAUGAAAAGCACUUUGAAAAGAGAGUUAAAUAGCACGUGAAAUUGUUGAAAGGGAAGCGUUCAUGACCAGACUUGAGCCGGUUGAUCAUCCAGUGUUCUCACUGGUGCACUCUGCCGGUUCAGGCCAGCAUCAGUUCGUUUCGGGGGAUAAAGGCUUUGGGAAUGUAGCUCCUCGGAGUGUUAUAGCCCAUUGUGUAAUACCCUGGGAUGGACUGAGGUUCGCGCUCUGCAAGGAUGCUGGCGUAAUGGUCAUCAACGACCCGUCUUGAAACACGGACCAAGGAGUCGUCUUCGUAUGCGAGUGUUCGGGUGUAAAACCCCUACGCGUAAUGAAAGUGAACGCAGGUGAGAGCUUCGGCGCAUCAUCGACCGAUCCUGAUGUUCUCGGAUGGAUUUGAGUAAGAGCAUACGGGGCCGGACCCGAAAGAAGGUGAACUAUGCUUGUAUAGGGUGAAGCCAGAGGAAACUCUGGUGGAGGCUCGCAGCGGUUCUGACGUGCAAAUCGAUCGUCAAAUAUGAGCAUGGGGGCGAAAGACUAAUC